AACUGAAAGACACCCUCUGGUUCUCCAUGCUCUCUCUCUUCCCUGGUCUGCCAGUUGGUGCAGAAGACUCAGUGCAAGACUCUGAGGCUUAGGGGAUGCAGGAGCCUGGGUCCCCAAAUGAUUGCUUGGAGCUGAAGCCAGUUCCCUUCUACUCUACGACCCACAUUGGAUUCUGAUAUCUCCAUCAUCUCUCUCCCAUGGACAAUGGUAGCACCGAAUGGGUAGCCAGAGCACACCUAUUCCUUCAGCUGCAAGAGGAUCGCCAAAGCCCUGGUUUUCUGCCUGCGUCUCCAGCUUUACCACGGUCUAGGACAAUCACCUCCUUUGUCGUACUUCUUCCAUCCAGCCUGGCCUCCUUCCACGAUCCGUCAGCUGACUGCUGCUUUUCUCUCUGGGGAAAGGAACAGCUGGCUUGUGGAGGGUGGGAGCCCAUCUACGGGGAGAUCUGUCAUCCCUGGGGCUUGUGACUAAGCUUGGAGAGAAUCACAACCAUGGAAGAGAUGCUGACGAGUGGAGACCCCUGACAUUCAGGUUCAACAGCCCCUGCUAGGGGGAGCAAGGUCAAGGUAAGGGAAGCUCACACCUCAGGCACACCUGAAGGUACUUCCUACUCUUUAUCAAUAACAAGACAAGCAAUGGCAACAAUUUAUUGCACUCUUGUGCUGGGCACACUGCUGAAUACUUUACAUAUAUUGUUUGACUGACAUCACCCUCUGAAGCAGUGUUCUUAUAAUACCUAAAGAGCAGGUGACCUGCUUGGGUUCAAAUGGGUUUAGUUGCCUGCUCAAGUCACAUAAGUAGGAAGUAAGGAAGCCAGGAGAGGAAACCCAGGUAUCAGAUUGAAAAGUCUGUGAUUUUCCAGUCACUUCCAUGUCAUUGACUGUCUACCUCUUCUGUGCCAGCCACUGUGAAAGCCCUUCACAAACACAUUUUUUAAUUUUCUAGAUUGGACAAUAUGCCAUUUAUAGACAAGGAUACUGAGGUUCAGAAAAGGUAAGGGGUUUGUUUGGUGUUGCUUAGUUCAUAGAUGCAAGAGUUGAGAUCUGUUCUCAGGUAUCACCAAACCCAAGAGCUUUCGCCUCUGACCCUGAUACUCUUCAUCUGCCAUAUUCAACCUCACCCCAUCCCUGCCCUGCUCUGUGCCCCGGAAGCCUGCUUCUCUGGACUGUACCUGCAGGGCUCUUGACCUGUGACUUCUGUUGGGUCCAGCCAGUGGGGGAGUUGGAGGCUGGGAGGAGAGAGGGUUGAGGUCUGAAAGCAUCCUGUUCCUCCUGGCUUUGCUGUGAUUUUGCAAUGCAUAUAGUUGGCCCUUUUCCAGGCUCAGAUCCCAAACCGACUCUGAUAGUAACCUCUUCUCCCAUGUCCUUCUGGGCCUGGGGGCGGCCCCAGCUUCCUGCUGUGCCUCAACAUCCCCCAUGAGCUCUCGGAAUCCUGCCCAUCCCUGCGUGCCCACCCUGGUCCCUGCAUUAAAAAUCUCUUCAAACAUA